UGCGCAGGCGGCGGUUCGCGUGGAUAGAUGAAAUCUCCUGGCUUACCUGGGAGGAUGGUAUCCAGACGGGAUCGCUUGAGGGUCGGAGAGGGGCGUGGGAUUCCGGGUGGAGCGGUGAAAUGCGUAGAGAUCCGGAGGAACACCGACGGCGUAGGCAGCGCCCUGGACGACACCUGACGCUGAGGCACGAAAGCUGGGGGAGCGAACA
rnacentral:rRNA from 1 species